rnacentral:rRNA from 1 species
GACGAACGCUGGCGGCGUGCUUAACACAUGCAAGUCGAACGGAAAGGCCCUGCUUUUGUGGGGUGCUCGGGUGGCGAACGGGUGAGUAACACGUGAGUAACCUGCCCUUGACUUUGGGAUAACUUCAGGAAACUGGGGCUAAUACCGGAUAGGAGCUCCUGCUGCAUGGUGGGGGUUGGACAGUUUCGGCGGUUGGGGAUGGACUCGCGGCUUAUCAGCUUGUUGGUGGGGUAGUGGCUUACCAAGGCUUUGACGGGUAGCCGGCCUGAGAGGGUGACCGGCGACAUUGGGACUGAGAUACGGCCCAGACUGCUACGGGAGGCAGCAGUGGGGAAUAUUGCACAAUGGGCGGAAGCGUGAUGCAGCAACGCCGCGUGCGGGAUGACGGCCUUCGGGUUGUAAACCGCUUUCGCCUGUGACGAAGCGUGAGUGACGGUAAUGGGUAAAGAAGCACCGGCUAACUACGUG